CAGUCGCCACGGUAAUACGUAGGGUGCAAGCGUUAAUCGGAAUUACUGGGCGUAAAGCGUGCGCAGGCGGUUUUGUAAGACAGAGGUGAAAUCCCCGGGCUCAACCUGGGAACUGCCUUUGUGACUGCAAGGCUUGAGUGCGGCAGAGGGGGAUGGAAUACCGCGUGUAGCAGUGAAAUGCGUAGAUAUGCGGAGGAACACCGAUGGCGAAGGCAAUCCCCUGGGCCUGCACUGACGCUCAUGCACGAAAGCGUGGGGAGCAAACAGGAUUAGAUACCCGGGUAGUCCCUGUCUCUUAUAC
rnacentral:rRNA from 1 species